rnacentral:misc_RNA from 1 species
GAUCAAGAACGCAGCGAAAUGCGAUAAGUAAUGUGAAUUGCAGAAUUCAGUGAAUCAUCGAAUCUUUGAACGCACAUUGCGCCCCUUGGUAUUCCGAGGGGCAUGCCUGUUCGAGCGUCAUUAUAACCCCUCAAGCUCAGCUUGGUGUUGGGGCCUGCUGCACUGGCAGCCCUUAAAAUCAGUGGCGGCGCCAUCUGGCUCUAAGCGUAGUAAUUCUUCUCGCUAUGGAGUCCUGGUGGAUGCUUGCCAUCAACCCCCAAUUUUUCUAUGGUUGACCUCGGAUCAGGUAGGGAUACCCGCUGAACUUAAGCAUAUCAAUAAGCGGAGGA